rnacentral:rRNA from 1 species
AGAACGAACGCUGGCGGCGUGGAUUAGGCAUGCAAGUCGGACGAGAAAGGCAUCUUCGGAUGCUGAGUACAGUGGCAAACGGGUGAGUAACGCGUGGGAAACCUGCCCUUUGGUUGGGGACAACACUUCUAACGAGGUGCUAAUACCGAAUGUUGUCACCGGAUCGCAUGUUCUGGUGAUGAAAGGCGGCCUCUACUUGUAAGCUGUCGCCAAAGGAUGGUCCCGCGUUCCAUUAGCUUGUUGGUGAGGUAACGGCUCACCAAGGCAAUGAUGGAUAGCCGGCCUUAGCGGGUGACCGGCCACACUGGGACUGAGAUACGGCCCAGACUCCUACGGGAGGCAGCAGUCGAGAAGCUUCCACAAUGGGGGAAACCCUGAUGGAGCGACGUCGCGUGGGUGAUGAAGGUUUUCGGAUCGUAAAGCCCUUUCGACAGGGACGAAUGGCUUGAAUGUUAAUAGCGUUCAGGCAGUGGCGGUACCUGUAUAAGAAGCUCCGGCUAACUCCGUGCCAGCAGCCGCGGUAAGACGGAGGGAGCAAGCGUUGUUCGGAUUUACUGGGCGUAAAGGGCGUCUAGGCGGAAGCGCAAGUCAGAUGUGAAAUCCAUCGGCUCAACCGGUGAACUGCAUUUGAUACUGCGUUUCUUGAGUACGGGAGAGGAGAGCGGAAUUCCUGGUGUAGCGGUGAAAUGCGUAGAUAUCAGGAAGAACACCGGUGGCGAAGGCGGCUCUCUGGACCGAUACUGACGCUGAAGCGCGAAAGUGUGGGGAGCGAACAGGAUUAGAUACCCUGGUAGUCCACACUGUAAACGAUGGAUACUAGGUGUCGGGGGUUCGACCCCUCCGGUGCCGGAGUUAACGCAUUUAGGUAUCCCGCCUGGGGAGUACGGUCGCAAGGCUGAUACUCAAAGGAAUUGACGGGGACCCGCACAAGCGGUGGAGCAUGUUGCUUAAUUCGACGCAACGCGAAGAACCUUACCGGGGUUUGACGUGUACAUGACAGGCCUGGAGACAGGCCAUCCUUCGGGCAGGUACAUCAGGUGCUGCAUGGCUGUCGUCAGCUCGUGUCGUGAGAUGUUGGGUUAAGU